AUUGAACGCUGGCGGCAGGCCUAACACAUGCAAGUCGAACGAGUGGCGGACGGGUGAGUAAUGUCUGGGAAACUGCCUGAUGGAGGGGGAUAACUACUGGAAACGGUAGCUAAUACCGCAUACCAUCGGAUGUGCCCAGAUGGGAUUAGCUAGAAGGUGGGGUAACGGCUCACCUAGGCGACGACCCCUAGCUGGUCUGAGAGGAUGACCAGCCACACUGUGACUGAGACACGGUCCAGACUCCGACGGGAGGCAGCAGUGUGGAAUAUUGCACAAUGGGCGAAAGCCUGAUGCAGCCAUACCGCGUGUAUGAAGAAGGCCUUCGGGUUGUAAAGUACUUUCGGCGGGGAGGAAUUACCCGCAGAAGAAGCACCGGCUAACUCCGUGCCAGCAGCCGCGGUAAUUC
rnacentral:rRNA from 1 species